AUACGGUCAUAUCCCGUUGAAACAUUGGUUCCAGUACGAUCACCCAAGUUAAGCCACGUUGAUCCUGUUCAGUACCUUGAUGGGUAACCUCUUGAGAAUACCAAGUAU